rnacentral:tRNA from 1 species
AGAGCUGUGGCUGAGCGGCUAGGCACCUGACAAACAUUCAGGAUCACGCAGGUUCAAAUCCUGUCGGCUCUA